rnacentral:rRNA from 1 species
GAAAGUAAGCAAGGGCGCAUGGCGGAUGCCUUGGCUCUCGGAGGCGAUGAAGGACGUGAUAAGCUGCGAUAAGCUUCGGGUAGGUGCAAAUAACCUUUGAUCCGAAGAUUUCCGAAUGGGACAACCCGUCAUUCUGAAGGAAUGACAUCUUGCAUAGCAAGAGGCUAACGCAGGGAACUGAAACAUCUUAGUACCUGCAGGAAAAGAAAAUAAUAAUGAUUCCCCAAGUAGUGGCGAGCGAACGGGGAUUAGCCCAAACCAAUGUUGUUACGGCAAUAUUGGGGUUGUAGGACCACGAUGUCGCAAGAACUUUAGUGAGAAGAAUUCUUUGGAAAAUGAAACCAUAGACGGUGAUAGUCCGGUAUUCGAAGCUAAACGAAGCGUAGUGGUAUCCUGAGUAGCGCGGGACACGAGGAAUCUUGCGUGAAUCUGCCGGGACCAUCCGGUAAGGCUAAAUACUCCCGAGAGACCGAUAGCGAACCAGUACUGUGAAGGAAAGGUGAAAAGCACUUCGAAUAGAAGAGUGAAAUAGUCCCUGAAACCGUGCGCCUACAAGCGGUCGGAGCAGCGUAAGUUGUGACGGCGUGCCUUUUGCAUAAUGAACCUACGAGUUACUUUUUCCGGCAAGGUUAAGCAUUUCAAAAUGUGUAGCCGAAGCGAAAGCGAGUCUGAACAGGGCGAUUAGUCGGAAGGAGUAGACGCGAAACCAAGUGAUCUACCCUUGGUCAGGUUGAAGGUUAGGUAACACUAACUGGAGGACCGAACCGAUAAGCGUUGAAAAGCUUCCGGAUGAACUGAGGGUGGGGGUGAAAGGCUAAUCAAACUUGGAGAUAGCUCGUACUCCCCGAAAUGCAUUUAGGUGCAGCCUUGGGAAUUACUACUGUGAGGUAGAGCGACUGAUAAGAUGCGAGGGCUUCACCGCCUAUCAAGUCUUGAUAAACUCCGAAUGCGCAGUAGUUCGAUCCCAGGAGUGAGGGCAUGGGUGCUAAGGUCCAUGUCCUAAAGGAGAAGAAUCCGGACCAUCAGCUAAGGUCCCGAAAUAAUUGCUAAGUUGAACUAACGAAGUCAGAUUGCUAAGACAGCUAGGAUGUUGGCUUGGAAGCAGCCAUUCAUUUAAAGAGUGCGUAACAGCUCACUAGUCGAGGAGUUUGGCGUGGAUAAUAAUCGGGUAUCAAGCUAUUUACCGAAGCUGUGGGAUCAUAUACUGAUCGGUAGGGGAGCAUUCCACUCGGCGUCGAAGGCGAAGCGUGAGCUUCUCUGGAGCGUGUGGAAAAGCAAAUGUAGGUAUAAGUAACGAUAAAGGGGGUGAGAAACCCCCUCGCCGAAAGACUAAGGUUUCCUGAUCAACGCUAAUCGGAUCAGGGUUAGUCGGGUCCUAAGGCUCAGCCGAACGGUGAGGCCGAUGGCAGAACAGGUUAAUAUUCCUGUACUACCUUAAGGAGUGACGUGGAGACGGAGGCGUGAUAGCGCCGCGGACUGACGGAAUAGUCCGUUGAAGGGUGUAGAUGUUGAUCUUUGCAGGCAAAUCCACAAAGAGAGUCGAACCUGAUAGUAUGGAACGUUCUUCGGAACAAUCCAAUAGUGCGUGUAAGCAUACUCCCAAGAAAAUCCGCUAAACUUAAUCUUUAAGGUACCCGUACCGCAAACGGACACACGUAGUCGGGUUGAAUAUACUAAGGCGCUUGAGUGAUUCACGGUUAAGGAACUAGGCAAAUUGACCCUGUAACUUCGGGAUAAAGGGUCCCAACGAGAGUUGGGCGCAGAGAAUAGGUCCAGGCAACUGUUUAACAAAAACACAGGGCUGUGCCAAAUUGAAAGAUUACGUAUACAGCCUGACACCUGCCCGGUGCUGGAAGGUUAAGAGGAGAUGUCAUCGCAAGAGAAGCAUUGAAUUGAAGCCCCAGUAAACGGCGGCCGUAACUAUAACGGUCCUAAGGUAGCGAAAUUCCUUGUCGGGUAAGUUC